rnacentral:lncRNA from 1 species
GCUAAGCCUGGCAUCUGGUGUAAACUAAACUUAGGUUAGUAAAUUUUGGUGUUUCUAUAUUUGUUCGAUUCUGUUUUCAAUUUAUUCCUGAAGGGUAGAAUGCAUUAGGCUAACUAAGAAUAUGGAUACCUUCAACGCUUGGCACCCCACCAUAUUAAAUAGAAAAGGUCCCUACCCCAUUUUUUGUAGCCACACGAUGUGGGAGAACUCACGAAAUAGACAAGCCCCAUGGGAGAGACUGAUUGGAUUGGUUGAGAAGAAGAAGUUUUGUAUAAUAUUAGGCCUUGCGUAAUUGCAUACAAUCUUGAGGUGAAGAUCCAUAUGGUGCGGAUGUUUCCUUGUCAAACGGGCCAAAUAUCCCCUAAAUGGGCCAUCGGAUGAUGGAAUCGAUCUUAGGACAUUACCGAUUUGGCUAACGGAUUAUCAAGUCCCUAGUAUGUUUAAGUUGGGUUUUAGUUAGAGGAGCGAGAGUCGAGGUGUUUGCGGUUCUAGAGGAUUGCCAAAGAUGCCCUAAGAGACUUUAUGACUUGUUCUCACACGUUACUCGUAUUAAAACUACAAUACGAAAUCAUACUUCUCAUGCACAAAUGUGUGGUGUACCUAGAUAAAGCAAUAGAGACAAUUGUAGUUACGUGUGAGAACAUAUUAAAAAUAAUUUCAGUUUUGUGCAAUCAAGGGAAUGUAAAGUAAUGUCCUUCUCAUAUUUAUGCUCGCACUAAUCACAUUCAUCCAUCCACUCGUCCUUAUAGUUGUAUAGAGUAGGGCACAAUAGGGACAUGGGAGAGUGUUUUUUGUAAUUAGGUGGUAACUAUGUACAAGACAUACAAGACAAUCAUUGGCCUAGAGCCUAUACCAUUCAUAUGCUAAUAAAGUGCAAAAGGAAGAAUGUUUAACUGUAAAGAAAGAAGCCGCUUAACUACACUAUUUAGGCGGGCCAACAUGUAUGGGAGGAGUAGUUGGUAUUUUUGGGGUGAAUUUCCAUUUUAAGCUCAUUGGAACUCGAUGGGGAUGUUUGCUUUUCGGGUGUGCCCCAUGGACAGCUAGCUAGCUAAUGCUAGCAUUGUAGAUGUGCCCUUUGUUUUUUCCCGUAUUUCAAGAUAGAUAUGCAUUUUUUUUCUUAAAUUGGUUAAGAAAACAUGGAAAUAACUAGCAACAAUGAAAAACACAUCACCUCAUUGCGGAUCACCUCCCCCCCCACCCGACUCCACUCGCUUGAGAUCGCUUUGGAAAAAUGCAAAUUAUGACUUCACGUCAUGGAAGAUCCACACCCUUCCACUCACACGAGAUCACAUCAUCUAACCCAAGACCCGUCUUACCCCUUUCCUCACACAAAAUCACAUCAUAACGUGUGACAUAUAUCGUAAGGUCUAGCAUGACAACAAAUUCUCUAGCCACCCUGCCACUUGAGACAUACCGAAACCCACCCCACCAUGUGACAUUAAACAUACAUGUAAGAAAGCGAGGGGUGGGCUUGGGACUUAUGAGAGGUCAUGCAAGAGAUAGAAUGCUUGGGCUAUCAAUCCACUUUCUCCUCCUUCGCGAAUCGCUGCUCGAUGGUCCCACGCCCAUGUUGGACACCUCACGUGGCCGAGCCUGGCAUUAGAUUCAGUUAUGUGCCCAACACUUCUUCCGAAACUGGUUUUGAUUCCGCUUUUGUUGUAUGUGUGCAGUUUUCAGAAUGGAGACUCACGCACCGCUUAUGACCGAUCAACUAGACUCUACUUAUUAUGGCUUUUCCUUGUCUAGCCACCUUGCAUGACCAAAGAUCUAAAUGAUUUAUUGCUUUUCCCAUGCCUUAGGUAAAUGUUUCUUUUUUCUAAGCCUACGUUAGUUUCAAAAUGCGCAAGUUUAGUUAGCCGAAAAUGUAAGUUUGAUUUUUUUUCAAAAAGAAAGUGUAGAGUGGAUUUUGGACGUUUUUACAAAGUGUGAAAUACACUUUUUUAGAAAACAUUUGUACUUAUAUGAAAAAAUAACCUAUUACUGCUUACUAUUGAAAUGUGUGUGUGAGGGUUAUUGAUUAUUUAGAGCGCAUUGUGGUAUCCAUUGCCUAUCCAACACUCUAUCCAAUCAUCAAAACACUAUUACCGUAACACCAAGUAAAAAUCAAUGCCUUCUGAACCUAUAUAUACACAUUUAUUUGAUAAGAAAUGUUAUCCUCAACCACGAGGGGAAGCGCCUCGUGUAACGAUCUCCAACCAAAACUACAUACUUACGUGAAUAAACAUUGUGACUCAUUAGCACAGUUAGCUUGUAUUGCAAGUACAAUAUGAUAGCAUACUUCACAUGCACAAGUGUGGUGUACUUGGAUAAAGCAUUAGUGACCAUUCUAAUUCGGUGUGAGAAUAUAUAACAAGAUUUUUAGUUUUGGGUAACCAAGGGAAUGUAAUGCAAUGUCCCUCGCAUAUGUAUUCCUCUUCUCGAAUACAUUCAUCCAUCCUCUCGUCCUCCGAUAUGUAUAGAGUAGGUCACAAUAGGUUAAUGGGGGAAAGUUGUUUGUAAUUAGGUAUUGUUUACAAAACAUUCAAGAUAAUCAUUGGCCUAAGACUAUACCAAAAAUUUGCAAAUGAAGAGCAAAAGGAAGAUAUUUUGUUUAAUUGUGAUGCAAGAAGCCGCUUAACUACACUAUUUAGGUGGGCCAACACGUGUAGGCGGACCAGCUGGUAUAUAUUGUUGCUGUUGGAUUUCCAUUAAUUCUAGGCUCACUAGAACUUCAUGGGGUGUUUGUUUUUGUGUCAAUGCGCCAUGGAUAGCUGCAAGUAAAUGUUUGCUUUGUAGAUGUGUCCUUAGUUUCUUCCCAUAUGUCAUGUUGGAUAUAAUUUGUUCUCUUAAAUUGUUUAAGAAAAAUUGGAAAUAACUAACAAAGAUAAAAAAACAUCAUGUCAUCUAAGAUCCACCCCCUCCGCUCGCACGAUAUUUCUUUGAAAAAUGGAAAUAAUCCCUUCAUGUCAUGGAAGAUCUACAUCCUUCCACUCACGCGAUAUCGCAUCAUCUAACCUGGGUCAGUUUUCCCCCUUUCCUCAUAGAAUAUCGUGUCGUAAUGCAUGAGAUAUAUCCUGAACUCCACUUAUUGUAGCACGACAAUAACUUCUCUAGCCACGCCACAAUUUGAGACGUACCGGAAGCCUACCCACCGUCCGAAAUUAAUGACACAUGUAAGCAAAGUGAUGGGUGGGUGUUGGGACUUACGGGAGGCCAUGCAAGAGACGCAAUGCUUGGUUCGUUGACCCCAUUUAUUCUCCACGUGGAUCGCUUCUUGAUGGUCUCACGCUCGAGUUGGUCACCUCCCAUGGCUAAGCCUGGCAUCCGGUGUAAACUAAACUUAUGUUAGUAAAUUUUGGUGUUUCUAUAUUUGUUGUUUGAUUCUGUUUUCAAUUUAUUCCUAAAGGGUAGAAUGCAUUAGGCUAACUAAGAAUAUGGAUACCUUCAAUGCUUGGCACCCCACCAUAUUAAAUAGAAAAGGUCCCUACCCCAUUUUGUUUGGCCACACGAUGUGGGACAAAUCACAAAACUGACAAGCCCCACGGGAGAGACUGACUGGAUUGGUUAAGAAGAAGUUUUGCAGAAUAUUAGGCCUUGCGUAGUUGCAUACAAUGUUGAGGUGAAGAUCCAUAUGGUGCGGAUGUUUCGUUGUCAAACGGGCCAAAUAUCCCCUAAAUGGGUCAUCGGACGCUAAAAUCGAUCUUAGGACACUACCGAUUUGGCUAACGGCUUAUCAAAUCCCUAGUGUUUUUAAGUUGGGUUUGAGUUAGAGGAGCGAGAGUCGAUGUGUUUGCGGUUCUAGAGGAUUGCCAAAGAUGCCCUAAGAGACUUUAUGACUUGUUCUCACACGUUGCUCGUAUUAAAACUACAAUAGGAAAUCAUACUUCGCAUGCACAAAUGUGUGGUGUACCCAGAAAAUGCAAUAGAGACAAUUGUAGUUACGUGUGAGAACAUAUUAAAAAUAAUUUCAGUUUUGUGCAAUGAAGGGAAACUAAAGUAAUGUCCUUCUCAUAUUUAUGCUCACACUGAUCACAUUCAUCCAUCCACUCGUCCUUAUAGUUGUAUAGAGUAGGGCACAAUAGGUCCAUGGGAGAGUGUUUUUUGUAAUUAGGCGGUAAGUGUGUACAAGACAUACAAGACAACCAUUGGCCUAGAGCCUAUGCCAUCCAUAUGCAAAUAAAGUGCAAAAGGAAGAAUGUUUAACUGUAAAGAAAGAAGCCGCUUAACUACAAAAUUUACGCGGGCCAACAUGUCUGGGAGGAGUAGGUGGUAUUUUUGGGGUGAAUUUCCAUUUUAAGCUCAUUGGAACUUGAUGGGGAUGUUUGGUUUUUGGGGUGUGCUCCAUGGACAGCUAGCCAGCUAAUGUUAGCAUUGUAGAUGUGCCCUUUGUUUUUUCCCGUAUUUCAAGAUAGAUAUGCAUUUUUUUUCUUAAAUUGGUUAAGAAAACAUGGAAAUAACUAGCAACAAUGAAAAACACAUCAGCUCAUUGAGGAUCACCCCCCCCCCGACUCCACUCGCUUGAGAUCGCUUUGGGAAAAUGCAAAUUAUGACUUCACGUCAUGGAAGAUCCACACCCUUGCACUCACACGAGAUCACAUCAUCUAACCCAAGAUCUGUCUUACCCCUUUCCUCACAGAAAAUCACAUCAUAACGUGUGACAUAUAUCCUAAGGUCUAGCAUGACAACAAAUUCUCUAGCCAUCCCGCCACUUGAGACAUACCGAAACCCACCCCACCAUGUGACAUUAAACAUACAUGUAAGAAAGCUAGGGGUGGGCUUGGGACUUAUGAGAGGUCAUGCGAGAGAUAGAAUGCUUGGGCUAUCAAUCCACUUUCUCCUCCCUCGUGCAUCGCUUCUCGAUGGUUCCACGCCCAUGUUGCACACCUCACGUGACCGAGCCUGGCAUUUGGUAUAUACCAAACUUCGGUUAUUAAGUUUUGUUGUUUCUAUAUUUCCGUUUUAAUUCCGUUGGUUAAGUAAAAUGGAAAUAACUAGCAAGAGUGAAAAACCCAUCACAUCGGUGAAGAUCGCCCCCAAUCCACUCACAUGAGAUCGCUUUGAAAAAAUGAAAUUUGUUACUUCACAUCAUUGAAGAUCCACACCCUUCCACUCACACGAGAUCACAUCAUCUACCCGAGAUUUGUGUGACCCUUUUCCUCACACAAGAUCAUGUCAUAACGUGUGACAUAUAUCCUAAUGUGUAGCAUGACAAUAAAUUCUCUAGCCGCCCUGCCACUUGAGACGUGCCGAAACCCACACCACCAUUUGACAUGAAACAUGCAUGUAAGAAAACGAGGCAUGGGUUUUGGGCCUUAUGAGAGGUCAUGUAAGAGCCACAAAUCUUGGGUUGUCAAUCCCCUUUAUCCUCCCUUGUGGAUCGCUGCUUGACGAUCCCAUGACCAUGUUGGGUACCUCACAUGGCUAACCCUGCCAUUUGCUACAUAAACUUCGGUUAGUAAGUUUUGGUGUUUCUAUAUUUCAUUUUUUAUUCGGUUUUCGACUUAUACUGAAAGAGUAUCCCGUGUGCGGUUCACCAAGGAUAUGGAUGCCUUCCACCCGAGGCAUACCACCCUAUUAAAUAGUCAAGCUCCUGCCUCCAUUUUUUGCAGCCUGGUGAUGUGGUACUAAAAACCAAAUGGACAAGCCCCAUGGGAGAGACUCAUUGGUGUGGGUAAGAAAAAUAGGUGAUGUAGAUUAUUGGGCAUUGCCUAUUUGCCUACAGUAUUGAGGUGGAUGCCCACAUGAGUGAUUGGGUCUUCCCUGACUUGCACACACGACCACAUGGCACUCACCUUAACCUUAGGGGAGCGACUCUGUGUCGACUAUUGUGAGACGAAACAAGGUGCCGCCUAGAGUGCUGACGAAAUUGGCUAGAACACCAUGCUGGGCGACCAUCGGCCUUAAGUGUUGAUUUUUUAUCUUAUUUUUUCUUUCUUUUAUAUUUAUUUUAACAGUUUUCCAUUAUAUUUCACAGUUUAUGCUUAUAUACAUCCACCCCUGUAACUUCUCAACUACCGACGCACUACAAUCACUAGGAAAAUGCUUGUGCAUUUCUACAUGCAAUAUGAAUCCAUUAAUCACAAUUUAGCAAAUGCGUACACCAAUAAGUGGAGCAUUGUUUGAUAUCAUAGCUGAAUGUCCAUUAUUCGAUAUCAUAGGUCAACAUCCGUGAAUUGCGACCAAAUAUAUAUUACUAUGAUGACCAAAGGCAUGAGCAACACAAAAAUCAAGCACAACAAAAUAUUUCCCAACAACUGCCAAAGAAAAAGAUUGCAAAUAACAACUUAAAGAAACCAAUAUCGCAAAACUAACAAGCCUUUGAACAAACAAGAUUUAACAUGACACUAAUUGGGUAUGCUUAAUUUGCACGAUACAAUGGUUCACGGGGAAACAAGUUUGUGCUGAGUGAUACAAGUUUGGUCUAUUCAACAAAACACAUCAAAUUUCCUGACUUAGGCAUUGAUAUCAAAAGUAUUCCGAGUCUUUAUCUAGAUAGAUCCAAACAAAUAUACAAGGAUGAGAACUUCCAAAUAAUCUUAUAGAUUGUGAAUCUAGCAACAUGAGUAUCAAUUCUACACUUUCCACAUAGGCAAUACAAUUUUAACUAGUGGGUUAUGCUUGUUUCCCGAAACAAGAUCAAGCGGGAGGUUGGUGUUAAUUCACCUAGGUGUAGAACCUUCUUUCGCUGAACACCAAUCCAAAGGACCAUGCUUGUUGCUUCGAAGAUCACUUGUAGAGCUUGUGCGUCUCGGGACAAUGAGGGAUUAGAGGAGUAGGCGACACUAUCUUUCCUAGAGGCGGGCCUACUACUGGUCGGGUGAGACUCUGCUGUGCAUCACAAUUCUUGAUCUUGUUUGUAAUUGAAGAGAGGUCCCAAGGCAGGAUGGCACUCACACGAGGGCUUGAUAAGUUGCAUUAGAGUGUGCUUUGAGGAUCACUUGAAGACUCAGAGCGGCACUGAUUAUAGAGAGCAUGGGGAAUGCUUAGUUUCUUGAAGGCUAUGCUUUGUUUUGUGCUAGAGGAUUUAGAUGUGGUCAGAUGGAGUUGGGCCAUGAAAUUAUAUUGAGAAAUUGAAGGGCAAAAGUUAAGAGAAACUUAGAGUUGUUGUUUAUGGAUGGCGAUAGGCCCAAGUUGCAUGUUUGUUGGUUUUGGGUGAUGAGAAUUGGAGAUUGGGAGGAAAGAGGAUAUGCUACGUUAGAAAAAAACAUUAAAGAAUUCGAGUUUGGCUACAUCAGUGCGAACUAUUAUGUUCAGCCUUUAGAAUCAGUUGUGUGCCCAACACUUCUUCCGAAACUGGUUUUGAUUCCAUUUUUGUUGUAUGUGUGCAGUUUUCAGAAUGGAGACUCACGCACCGCUUAUGACCGAUCAAUUAGACUCUACAUAUUAUGGCUUUUCCUUGUCUAGCCACCUUCAUGACCAAAGAUCUAAAUGAUUUAUUGCUUUUGCCAUGUCUAAGGUAAAUGCUUUUUUUCGAGCCUACGUUAGUUUCAAAAUGCGCAAGUUUAAUUAGCCGAAAAUGUAAGUUUGAUUUUUUUCAAAAAGAAAGUGUAGAGUGGAUUUUGGACGUUUUUACAAAGUGUGAAAUACACUUUUUUAGAAAACAUUUGUACUUAUAUGAAAAAAUAACCUUUUACUGCUUACUAUUGAAAUGUGUGUGCAAGGGUUAUUGAUUAUUUAGAGCCCGCUGUGGUAUCCAUUGCCUAUCCAACACUCUAUGCAAACAUCAAAACACUAUUACCGUAACACCAAGUAAGAAAUCAAUGCCUUGUGAACGUAUAUAUACACAUUUAUUUGAUAAGAAAUGUUAUCCUCAACCACGAGGGGAAGCACCUCGUGUAACGAUCUCCAACCAAAACUACAUACUUAGGUGAAUAAACAUUGUGACGCAUUAGCACAGUUAGCUUGUAUUGCAAGUACAAUAUGAUAUCAUACUUCACAUGCACAAGUGUGGUGUACUUGGAUAAAGCAUAAGUGACCAUUGUAAUUACGUGUGAGAAUAUAUAACAAGAUUUUUAGUUUUGGGUAACGAAGGGAAAGUAAUGCAAUGAACCUCGCAUAUGUAUUCCUCCUCUGGAAUACAUUCAUCCAUCCUCUCGUCCUCCGAUAUGUAUAGAGUAGGCCACAAUAGGUUAAUGGGGGAAAGUUGUUUGUAAUUAGGUAUUGUGUAGAAAAUAUUCAAGAUAAUCAUUGGCCUAAGACUAUACCAAAAAUCUGCAAAUGAAGAGCAAAAGGAAGAUAUUUAGUUUAAUUGUGAUGCAAGAAGCCGCUUAACUACACUAUUUAGGUGGGCCAACACGUGUAGGCGGACCAGGUGGUAUAUAUUGUUGGUGUUGGAUUUCCGUUUUAGGCUCACUGGAACUUCAUGGGGUGUUUGUUUUUAUGGGCGUGCGCCAUGGAUAGCUAGCGAGUAAAUGUUUGCUUUGUAGAUGUGUCCUUAGUUUCUUCCCAUAUUUCAUGUUGGAUAUGAUUUGUUCUCCUAAAUUGGCUAAGAAAUAUUGGAAAUAACUGAAAAAGAUAAAAACAUCAUGUCAUCGAAGAUCCACCCCCUCCGCUCGCACGAUAUUGCUUUGGAAAUGGAAAUAAUCCCUUCAUGUCAUGGAAGAUCUACAUCCUUCCACUCACGCGAUAUCGCAUCAUCUUACCUGGGUCAGUCUUCCCCCUUUCCUCACAAAAAAUCACGUUGUAUUGCAUGAGAUAUAUCCUGAAGUCCACUUAUUGUAGAACGAAAAUAAAUUCUCUAGCGACCCCGCCAUUUGAGACGUACCGGAAGCCUCCCCACCAUCCGAAAUUAAUGACACAUGUAAGCAAAGUGAGGGGUGGGUGUUGGGACUUACGAGAAUCCAUGCGAGAGCCGCAAUGCUUGGGGUGUUGAGCUCAUUUAUUCUCCACGUGGAUCGCUUCUUAAUGGUAUCACGCUCGAGUUGGUCACCUCCCAUGGCUAAGCCUCGCAUCUGGUGUAAACUAAAAUUAAGUUAGUAAAUUUUGGUGUUUCUAUAUUUGUUGUUCGAUUCUGAUUUCAGUUUAUUCCUAAAGGGUAGACUGCAUUAGGCUAACUAAGGAUAUGGAUACCUUCAACGCUUGGCACCCCGCAAUAUUAAAUAGAAAAGGUCCCUACCUCAUUUUGUGUAGCCACAUGAUGUGGGAGAAAUCACGAAAGAGACAAGCCCCGUGGGAGAGACUAAUUGGACUGGUUGAGAAGAAGAAGUUUUGUAGAAUAUUAGGCCUUGCGUAGUUGCAUACAAUGUUGAGGUGAAGAUCCAUAUUGUGCGGAUGUUUCCUUGUCAAACGGGCCAAAUAUCCCCUAAAUGGGUGAUCGGACGAUGAAAUCAAUCUUAGGACACUACCGAUUUGGCUAACGGCUUAUCAAAUCCCUAAUAUUUUGAAGUUGGGUUUGAGUUAGAGGAACGAGAGUCGAUGUGUUUGUGGUUCUAGAGGAUUGCCAAAGAUGCCCUAUGAGACUUUAUGACUUGUUCUCACACGUUGCUCGUAUUAAAACUACAAUAGGAAAUCAUACUUCACAUGCACAAAUGUGUGGUGUACCUAGAUAAAGCAAUAGAGACAAUUGUAGUUACAUGUGAGAACAUAUUAAAAAUAAUUUCAGUUUUGUGCAAUCAAGGGAAAGUAAAGUAAUGUCCUUCUCAUAUUUAUGCUCGCACUGAUCACAUUCAUCCAUCCACUCGUCCUUAUAGCUGUAUAGAGUAGGCCACAAUAGGGCCAUGGGAGAGUGUUGUUUGUAAUUAGGCGGUAACUGUGUACAAGACAUACAAGACAAUCAUUGUCCUAGAGCCUAUACCAUCCAUAUGCAAAUAAAGUGCAAAAGGAAGAAAUUUUGUUUAACUCUAAAGCAAGAAGCCGCUUAACUACACUAUUUAGGCAGGCCAACAUGUGUGGGAGGACUAGGUGGUAUUUUUGCGGUGAAUUUCCAUUUUAAGCUCAUUGGAACUCGAUGGGGAUGUUUGCUUUUUAGGUGUGGCCCAUGGACAGCUAGCCAACAAAUGGUAGCAUUGUAGAUGUGCCCUUUGUUUUUUCCCGUAUUUCAGGAUAGAUAUGCAUUUUUUUUCUUAAAUUGGUUAAGAAAACAUGGAAUUAACUAGCAACAAUGAGAAACACAUCACAUCAUUGAUGAUCACCCCCACCCCCCGCCCCCCGCCUCCACUCGCUUGAGGUCGCUUUGGAAAAAUGCAAAUUACGACUUCAUGUCAUGGAAGAUCCACACCCUUCCACUCACACGAGAUCACAUCAGCUAACCCAAGAUCCGUCUUACCCAUUUCCUCACAGAAAAUCACAUCAUAAUGUGUGACAUAUAUCCUAAGGUCUAGCAUGAAAACAAAUUCUCUAGCCACCCCGCCACUUGAGACAUACCGAAACCCACCCCACCAUGUGACAUUAAACAUACAUGUAAGAAAGAGAGGGGUGGGCUUGGGAGUUAUGAGAGGUCAUGCAAGAGAUAGAAUGCUUGGGCUAUCAAUCCACUUUAUCCUCCCUCGUGAAUCGCUGCUCGAUGGUCCCACGCCCAUGUUGGACACCUCACAUGGCCGAGCCUGGCAUUUGCUAUAUACCAAACUUCGGUUAGUAAGUUUUGUUCUUUCUAUAUUUCCUUUUUGAUUCAGUUGGUUAAGAAAAAUGGAAAUAACUAGCAACAGUGAAAAACCCAUCACAUCACUGAACAUCACCCCCACUACACUCACAUGAGAUCGCUUUGAAAAAAUGAAAAUUAUCACUUCACAUCAUUGAAGAUCCACACCCUUCCACUCACAUGAGAUCACAUCAUUUAACCCGAGAUCUGUCUUCCCCUUUUCCUCACACAAGAUCAUGUCGUAACGUGUGACAUAUAUCCUAAUGUCUAGCAUGACAAUAAAUUCUCUAGCCGCCCUAUCACUUGAGACGUACCGAAUCCCACACCACCAUCUGCCACGAAACAUAAAUGUAAGAAAACGAGGCGUGGGUUUUGGGCCUUAUGAGAGGUCAUGCAAGAGCCAAAAAGCUUGGGUUGUCAAUCCCCUUUAUCCUCCCUUGUGGAUCGCUGCUCGACGAUCCCAUGACCAUGUUGGGCACCUCACAUGGCUGGCCCUGGCAUUUGGUAUAUAAACUUAGGUAAGUAAGUUUUGUGUUUCUAUAUUUCCUUUUUGAUUCAGUUUUCGACUUAUACUGAAAGAGUAUAACGUGUCCGGUUCACCAAGGAUAUGGAUGCCUUUCACCCGAGGCAUACCACCCUAUUAAAUAGUCAAGCUCCUGUCCCCAUUUUCUGUAGCCUGGUGAUGUGGUACUAAUAACCAAAUGGACAUGCCCCACGGGAGAGAUUCAUUGGUGUGGGUAAGAAAAAUAGGUUUUGUAGAUUAUUGGGCAUUGCCUAUUUGCAUAUUGUAUUGAGGUGGAUGGCCCACAUGAGUGAUUAGGUCGUCCCUGAUUUGCACACACGACCACAUGACACUUACCUUAUCCUUAGGGGAGCGACUCUGUGUUGACUAUUGUGAGAUGAAAUAAGGUGUCGCCUAGAGUGCUUACGAAAUGGGCUAGAAUACCAUGUUGGGCGACCAUCGGACUUAAGAGUUGAUUUUUUUAUCUUCUUUUUUCUUUCUUUUAUAUUUAUUUUAAUAGUUGUCCAUUAUAUUUCACAGUUUAUCCUCAUAUGUGUCCACCCCUGUAACUGCUCAAUUACCGAGCCACUACAAUCACUAGGAAAAUGCUUGUGCAUUUCUACAUCCAACAUGAAUCCAUUAAUUACAGUUUAGCAAAUGCGUACACCAAUAAGUGAAGCAUUGUUUGAUAUCAUAGUUGAAUGUCCAUUAUUCGAUAUCAUAGGUUAAUAACCAUGAAUUGCGACUACAUAUAUAUUACUAUGAUGACCAAAGCCAUGAGAAACACAAAAAUCAAGCACAACAUAAUAUUUCACAACAACUGCCAAAAAAAGAGAAACCCACAUCACAACAUAUGAAUGAAACAAAACUAAGAAUCCUUUGAACAAACAACAUUUAUCAUGAUACUAAUGGGGUAUGCUUAAUUUGCAUGAUACAAUGGUUCACGAGGAAACAAGUUUGUGCUGCGAGAUACAAGUUUGGUCUAUUCAACAAAACACAUCAUAUUUCUUGACUAAGGCAUUUAUCUCAAAAGUCUUCAAAGUCUUUAUCUAGAUAGAUCCAAACAAAUAUAGAAGGAUGAGAACUUCCAAAUAAUCUUAUAGAUUAUGAAUCUAGCAACAUGAGUAUCAAUUCUACACUUUCCACAUAGGUAAUACAAUUUUAACUAGAGGGUUGUGCUUGUUUCCCGAAACAAGAUAAAGCGGGAGGUUGGUGUUAAUUCACCUAGGUGUGGAACCUUCUUUCGCUGAACACCAAUCCGAAGCACCAUGCUUGUUGCUUCGAAGAUCACUUGUAGAGUCGGUGCGUCUCGGGACGAUGAGGGACUAGAGGAGUAGGCGGCACUAUUUUUCUGAGAGGCGGGCUUACUACUGGUCGGGUCAUACUCUGCUGUGCAUCACAAUUCUUGAUCUUGUUUGGAAUUGAAGAGGGGUCCCGAGGCAGGAUGGGGCUCAGACGAGGGCUUGAUAAGUUGUAUUAGAGUGUGCUUUGAGGAUCACUUGAAGACUCAGAGCGGCACCGAUUAUAGAGAGCAUGGGGAAUGCUUAGUUUCUUGAAGGCUAUGAUUUGUUUUGUGCUCGAGGAUUUAGAUGUGGUCAGAUGGAGUUGGGCCAUGAAAUUACAUUUAGAAAUUGAAGGGAAAAAGUUAAGAGAAACUUAGAGUUGUUCUUUAUGGAGGUAGAUAGGCUAAAGUUGCAUCUUUGUUGGUUUCGGGUGAUGAGAAUUGGAGAUUGGGAGGAAAGAGGAUAUGCUACGUUAGAAAAAAAAACAUUGAAGAUUUCGAGUUUGGCUAUAUGAGUGCGAACUAUUAUAUUCAGCCUUUAGGUUCUGUUCCGUGCCCAACACUUCUUCCGAAACUGGUUUUGAUUCCGUUUUUGUUGUAUAUGUGGAGUUUUCAGAAUGGAGACUCACGCACCGCUUAUGACCGAUCUACUAGACUCUACUUAUUAUGGCUUUUCCUUGUCUAACCAGCUUAUAUGACCAAAGAUCUAAAUGAUUUAUUGCUUUUUUCCAUGCCUUAGGUAAAUCUUUCUUUUUUUCGAAGCCUACGUUAGUUUCAACAUGCGCAAGUUUAGUUAGCCCAAAAUGUAAGUUCGAUUUUUUUUGAAAAGAAAGUGUAGAGUGGAUUUAGGACGUUUUUACAAAGUGAGAAAUACACUUUUUUUUGAAAACAUAUGUACUUAUAUGAAAAAAUAACCUUUUACUGCUUAGUAUUGAAAUGUGUGUGCUAGGGUUAUUGCUUAUUUAGAGCCCAGUGUGGUAUCCAUUGCCUAUCCAACACUCUAUCCAAACAUCAAAACACUAUUGUUGUAACACCAAGUAAGAAAUCAGUGCCUCUAAAGGUAUAUAUACACAUUUAUUUUAUAAGAAACAUUAUCCUCAACCACGAGGGGAAGCGCCUCGUAUAACGAUCUCCAACCAAAACUACAUACUUACGUGAAUAAACAUUGUAACUCAUUAGCACAGUUAGCUUGUAUUGAAUGUACAAUAUGAUAUCAUACUUCACAUGCACAAGUGUGGUGUACUUGGAUAGACCAUUAGUGACAAUUGUAAUUCCAUGUGAGAAUAUAUAACAAGAUUUCUAGUUUUGGGUAACCAAGGGAAAAUAAUGCAAUGUCCCUCGCAUAUGUAUUCCUCCUAUGGAAUACAUUCAUCCAUCCUCUCGUCCUCCGAGAUGUAUAGAGUAGGGCAAAAUAGGUUAAUGGGGGAAAGUUGUUUGUAAUUUGGUAUUAUGUACAAAACAUUCAAGAUAAGCAUUGGCCUAAGACUAUUCCAAAAAUUUGCAAACGAAGAGCAAAAGGAAGAUAUUUUGUUUAAUUGUGAUGCAAGAAGCCGCUUAACUACACUAUUAAGGUGUGCCAACACAUGUAGGCGGACCAGGUGGUAUAUAUUUUUGGUGUUGGAUUUCCAUUUUAGGCUCACUAGAACUUCAUGGGGUGUUUGUUUUUAUGGGCGUGCACCAUGGAUAGCUAGCGAGUAAAUGUUUGCAUUGUAGAUGUGUCCUUAGUUUCUUCCCAUAUUUCAUGAUGGAUAUGAUUUGUUCUCUUAAAUUGGUUAAGAAAAAUUGGAAAUAACUAACAAAGAUAAAAAAAAAUAUCAUGUCAUAUAAGAUCCACCCCCUCCGCUCGCACGAUAUUGCUUUGAAAAAUGGAAAUAAUCCCUUCAUGUCAUGGAAGAUCUACAUCCUUCCACUCACGCGAUAUCGCAUCAUCUAACCUGGGUCGGUCUUCCCCCUUUCCUCACAGAAUAUCACGUCGUAAUGCAUGAGAUAUAUCCUGAAAUCCACUUAUUAUAGCACAACAAUAAAUUAUCUAGCCACCCUGCCAUUUGAGACGUACCGGAAGCCUCCCCACCUUCCCAAAUUAAUGAUACAUGUAAGCAAAGUGAGGGGUGGGUCUUGGGACUUACGAGAGGCCAUGCAAGAGCUGCAAUGCUUUGGUUGUUGACCCCAUUUAUUCACCACGUGGAUCGCUUCUUAAUGGUCUCACGCUCGAGUUGGUCACCUCCCAUGGUUAAGCCUGGCAUCUCGUGUAAACUAAACUUAGGUUAGUAAAUUUUGGUGUUUCUAUAUUUGUUGUUCGAUUCUAUUUUGAAUUUAUUCCUAAAGGGUAGAAUGCAUUAGGCUAACUAAGGAUAUGGAUACCUUCAACACUUGGCACCCCACCAUAUUAAAUAGAAAAGGUCCCUACCCCAUUUGACGUAGCCACACGAUGUGGGAGAAAUCACGAAACUGACAAGCCCCACGGGAGAGACUGAUUGGAUUGGUUGAGAAGAAGAAGUUUUGUUGAAUAUUAGGCCUUGCGUAGUUGCAUACAAUGUUGAGGUGGACGGCCCCCCAUGAGUCACUAGUUCAUCUUUCAUUGGCACACAACCACACAUAACAGACACCUUAUUGUCACGGGCGCGACUAUGUGUUCCCUUUUGCAAUACGAAACAAGGUCUCGCCUGAAGUGCUUACGAAAUGGGCCAUCCUAGCAUGUCGGGGAAUCAUAGGCCUUAAGAGCUCAUUUUUGUUUUAUUUUUUAUAUUUUUUUCAUCUUUUCCUUCUUUUUUACUUUAUUCUAUAUUUAUUUUUAUAGUCAUGCCAUUAUAUUUCACAGUCUACGCUCUUAUAUGUCCAACCCUUUAAUUGCUCAACAACCUACCCACUACAAUCACUAGGAAAAUUCUUGUGCAUUGCUACGGGCAACGUGAAUAAAUUAAUUAUAAUUUAGAAAUUGUAUCGACCCAUAAGUGAAGCAUUAUUUGAUCUCAUAGUUGAAUGUGCAUUAAUUGAUAUCACAGUUUAAUGUCAAUGAAUUGCGACAAGAUAUAUAUAUUACUAUGAUGACCAAAGGCGUGAGAAAGAGAAAAUUGGAGCACAACAAAAUAAUUUCCAACAAUUGCCAAAAGACGAGCUUGCACCUUAGAAAAUAAAUAAACCGGCAGCACAACAUUUGAAGUCAAUAUAACUGACACUCCUUUGUGCAAACAAUAUUUAACAUAAUACUAAUUUGGUAUGCCUCACUUGGAUGGUACUAGUUCACGAGGAAACAAGUUUGUGAUGAGUGAUACAACUUUGGUCGAUUCAAUAAAACACAUGAUAUUUCCUGAAUUAGGCAUUUAUCUAAUAAGUAUUGAAUGUGUCAGAUUGUUUGUCUAACUAUAGCCAAAUAGAUAUGUUAGCAUGAGAACAUCAAAAUGACAUUGUAGACUGCAAAGCUAGUAACAUGAGUAUCAAUUCUACACUUUCCACUUGGCAACCCAAGUUUAAUUAGUGGGUUUUCCUUUUUUCUUGAAACAGCAUCAAGCCAGAGGUUGGUGUUAAUUCACCUUGGUGUAGAACCUUCCUUUCCCUUAACACCAAUCCAAAGCACCAUGGUUGCUGCUUUGGAGAUAGUUUGUAGAGUCGGAGCUCCUCGGGGCGAUCGGGGAUUGGAGGAGUAGGUGGUGCAAUUUUUCAUAGACGGGGUCCUACUCUGGUAUGGUCGGACUUUGUAGUGCAUCACAAUCCCUGCUCUUGCUCAGAAUAAAAGAGGAGCCCCGAGGCGGUUUGGGGCUCACACGAGGGCUCGAUGAGGUAGGUUCGAGUGUGCUUCGGAGAUAAUUUGAAUAACCAAAGUGGCACCGGGUAGAGAUAUCAUGGGGCAUGCUGGGAUUCUUGAAGGUUAUCAUCUCUUUUGUGCUAGAGGAUAGAGAUGUGGUCGGAUGGAAUUGGGCCAUGAAAAUAUCUUGCGAUAAUGAAGGGGAGAAGUCAAGGGAAACUUAGAGUUGUUCUUCAUGGAGGGGUAUAUUACCAGGUGGCCUCUCUGUUGCAUUUAGUGUGAUGAACAUGGGAGAUUGGGAGAAAAUAGAACGUGUUACAUUAGAAAACAGACAUUCAAGACUCUAAGUUUGGAUAUAUCAUCAUGAACUAUUUGGUUCGGCCUUCAAAUUCACUUUCGUGCCCAACACUUCUCCCCCAAACUGGUUUUGAUCCUACUUUUGUAGUUAUUGUGUAGUUUGUGCAAUGGAGACUCAAGCACCAUUCAUGAUCGAUCAACUAGACUUGCCUUACUAUGGCUUCUCCUUGUCUAAGCAUCUUACAUGAUCCAAUAUCUAAAUAAUAUAUCAGUUUUGCCAAGCCUUAAGAAAAUGGUUUCUUUUUUCGAAAAUCUCGGGUUAGUUUUCAAAACAUGCAAGUUUAGUUAUUCAAAAAUGUAAGUUUCAUAUUUGUAAUCCGUAAAGUGGUUUUGGACAUUUUUACAAAGUGAAAAAUAUAAUUUCUUAGAAAACAUUGGUACUUACGAAUUUAUCUCAAAAUAUUAGAAGUGUCACUUUGUUUAUCUAACUACAACCAAAAAUUUCAAAUGUAAAUAAUUUAUCGUUAUUACCCAUAAUCAAAGGUU